rnacentral:lncRNA from 1 species
GUUUUGGGCCUCCAUCUCUAAUCUCUUUCGCUCCAGCAAGAGCUCUGAUGGGGCGAUAAACAUGACGAGGACGAGGAGCUAAACGUGCUGAGGAAGAUAAAUAUGAUAGAAUCAGCAAGGUUUAAUCAUGACGUACUUGUGUAUUCUCUCAGCCACUGCUCUAAGAUGAAGAAGUCUCUUCUGUUACUGUCCUUAUCCAGCAACAGCUUUACGGAUUUUUCAGAAGCCAUGAAAGCGUUGCAGAAACCUCUCCACUCUGUUGCGACAAUGCAAAAAAGUUUCAGCAAACAUGGUGAUUCUGCUCGGCAAAAGUGGUGCGAUGAGGACUGGAGAUCAACUCUUCUCGAUCCAUAGCUUUCCAUCUCGCAUCUGGUCAUAAAUAAAAAUCAAAGAGAUCGCAGAGAACUCAUCUAUCCAGAGACUUCACUUCUCGGCUUGAGCUUUACGUUCAGACUGGUUCGUCGUAAUCUCAAGACUGGUCUUGGUGUAACCUCAGCAAGUACACUACCUCGGCAAAAGCGGGGAGCAGUUGGCGUGAUCUCCUCAAAACGCCCAUCUUGAGAUCAUGUUCAUCAUCCUCGUAGCUGUUGCCAUGACAGACAAAUAAAUCUGAUGAGAUAAGUUUUCUCAUCUACUUAGUUAAUUGUUUACGUCAUAUAUCACCGCUUUAUACUUUGUGAUAGAACAAAAUCUUCACUUAAUAUUUUGUUAGUAAGGUUGAUACUAAACGUGAUCUCCCAUAUUAAUAAUUUAUAUGCUUGCUUGUGUCUUAAGACACACAAUUUUCAAUACGAGAUCAAAUUAAUUAAGUUUAAUUUUCUCUGUAUAGUAGAAUGAAGUGCUUUUGUACGUGGAGCAAAUACAGGAGGUCACAACUUUUCUUGUAUCCUGUCUCAGCAUGAACAAAUUCAUAUUGUCAUCGCACAGACGAGAUACAAGCACUCUUCUCUUACACAAGCGAAGUGGAGAAGAUGAAGAAUAUGAGACCUUCUUUGCAACUGGCGCCAACUAGAUCACAGUUCUCACAACUCUUGGCGACUUGCCAAUCACGAGCUCGCACUCACCACACCAGUGAGACCACGGCAGUCUAGUUUCGAUCUCAGCAAACAUCUUCUAUGCCGACUACACCAGUCACGGCAAUGCGCGGAUCAACAAAACAACUUGCUCGGCACACACGAUCUCAACACGAGACUUCGGGUUCGGUAAACUGGUACCUUAGGCACGAAUUUAAAUUGAACUUGCUUGUUAUUAGGCACAAAUUUGCAAUCGACUCGCUUAUCAUUAGACACGAGUUUACAAAAACUCGUCUUUGGCUAGGCAUGAGUUUAUAGAGACUCUCCUUCUACUAGGCACGAGCUCUCAAUAAACUCGCCUCCGUCUCAGCAUGAGUUUAGUAAGCUCGUCUUUCGCUAAGCACGAGUUUAAAGCAAAUUUGCUUUUUAUUAAGCACAAGUUCAAAGUAAACUCGCCUAAAUCAUCAUAGGCAGGAAUGUGUCUAAUUAAUUGUCUAAUAAACCCUAUUCGUAAAAUUCAUAAAGAUCGACUUCAUCUCUCUCUACGAACUUGGGGGGCUUACUGUUGGGGGUGGAUUUACAUCCUUCCUCAAGGCCCAUUAGACACUUAAUUAGACCCACUUCCUUAUGAAACCCUAGCCAUCUUUAUUCUAUAAAUAAGAAACUAUCUCUUUAUUAGUGGUGGUCCUCUCCAUUUUUACACUAAGAACACAUCUUGUAAAGAGUUUAUGGAUUAUUAGAUUUACUUUACACUAGUAAUCAUACUUGUAAUACAAUCUUUGAUCAAUAAACUCUUUUAUGUUCAUUUCCCAUUUGAUUUCAUCUAAAGAUUUUAUCUUAAACCUCAAGAAUCUAAUUCUCAUUCUUAGAUUCUUUUAUUGUAUUGAUUCAACCAAAACCACCAGUAUAAACACCAUUUUUGGAUCAAACAAAAAGGUUAAAAAUUCUAAUUGAUUAACGAAGAUGAUGAUUAUUUUAGAAGCAAUUUAUUCGAAACCACAUCAUAAUUAUUACUUGAUUGGUCACAGUCCACCAUAAUUAUGUAGAUCAAAAUGACGUAAAUCAAAAUCAUCAAUGAUUUUUAUAAGCUAGUUAUUAAUCAUUUUUGGGAAUGCAGUUUUUAGCAGAGGCGAUCUUGAUGGGUUUGCUUUUGAGGACAGGAUUUUGUUCGAAAAAGUUGGUAGGUCGGAGUUCAAAGCCACCGGAUAAUGUAGGCAUCGUUGGGAAAUCUUCUUGGCUUGGGACAUGGUGGAAUCCGAUGGUGUACCACAUCACUAUAUCUUUAUUCUCUAUUUCUCUAUUCCUGUCACAUUCGGUUACACAUAACGUUUAGUCCCACAAUUUUUUUUAAAAAAGACGUAACAAUUUCUCUUCUAAAUACAAAAUAUACGUACCUUAAACUUUACAUCUAAC